rnacentral:rRNA from 2 species
UGCAAGUCGAGCGGAUUGAUGGGAGCUUGCUCCCUGAUAUCAGCGGCGGACGGGUGAGUAACACGUGGGUAACCUGCCUGUAAGACUGGGAUAACUCCGGGAAACCGGGGCUAAUACCGGAUAACUCAUUUCCUCGCAUGAGGAAAUGUUGAAAGAUGGCUUCGGCUAUCACUUACAGAUGGACCCGCGGCGCAUUAGCUAGUUGGUGAGGUAACGGCUCACCAAGGCAACGAUGCGUAGCCGACCUGAGAGGGUGAUCGGCCACACUGGGACUGAGACACGGCCCAGACUCCUACGGGAGGCAGCAGUAGGGAAUCUUCCGCAAUGGACGAAAGUCUGACGGAGCAACGCCGCGUGAGUGAUGAAGGUUUUCGGAUCGUAAAGCUCUGUUGUUAGGGAAGAACAAGUGCCGUUCGAAUAGGGCGGCACCUUGACGGUACCUAACCAGAAAGCCACGGCUAACUACGUGCCAGCAGCCGCGGUAAUACGUAGGUGGCAAGCGUUGUCCGGAAUUAUUGGGCGUAAAGCGCGCGCAGGUGGUUCCUUAAGUCUGAUGUGAAAGCCCACGGCUCAACCGUGGAGGGUCAUUGGAAACUGGGGGACUUGAGUGCAGAAGAGGAAAGUGGAAUUCCAAGUGUAGCGGUGAAAUGCGUAGAUAUUUGGAGGAACACCAGUGGCGAAGGCGACUUUCUGGUCUGUAACUGACACUGAGGCGCGAAAGCGUGGGGAG